GCCUUCCAGACAAUGCUACUUUCUUCUUGACCUAUGUGGCUCUCAAGUACGAUCGAGGUACCUAGAUCAUUUGAUUGUGGAAUGAAAAUAUGGUAAAGCAGCUUCUCUAUGUCCCAAUUUGCUGCGAGGAUCAGCUUCAGCAUGGGAGAGAUGGGUAUUUCACUUUGCCCACCUCCGUCAACUUCCUGUUUUGGUUCCUUACAUGCCAACAGAAAACCCUAGACUACGUGAUACUGCUUAUGAGGUUGCCCUUGUGGCAUUGGCUACAAAUCCAUCUUAUCAUAAGGAUCUCUUGUUCACUGUGAAAUCAUGGCCAUCUGUAAUUUAUUCUGCAUUACCUGUAAUUUCAGCCAUCGAACCUCAGCUCAAUACUUCAUCCAUGACCGAUUCGCU